AGUGAACGCUGGCGGUAGGCCUAACACAUGCAAGUCGAACGGCAGCACAGUAAGAGCUUGCUCUUACGGGUGGCGAGUGGCGGACGGGUGAGGAAUACAUCGGAAUCUACUUUUUCGUGGGGGAUAACGUAGGGAAACUUACGCUAAUACCGCAUACGACCUACGGGUGAAAGCAGGGGAUCUUCGGACCUUGCGCGAUUGAAUGAGCCGAUGUCGGAUUAGCUAGUUGGCGGGGUAAAGGCCCACCAAGGCGACGAUCCGUAGCUGGUCUGAGAGGAUGAUCAGCCACACUGGAACUGAGACACGGUCCAGACUCCUACGGGAGGCAGCAGUGGCGAAUAUUGGACAAUGGGCGCAAGCCUGAUCCAGCCAUACCGCGUGGGUGAAGAAGGCCUUCGGGUUGUAAAGCCCUUUUGUUGGGAAAGAAAAGCAGCAGGUUAAUACCCCGCUGUUCUGACGGUACCCAAAGAAUAAGCACCGGCUAACUUCGU
rnacentral:rRNA from 1 species